CACUAUAUACCAAAAAACAAAAAGCUCUUUAUUUCUUCAACUUUUUUUCUGAGCCGACAAGGGAAAAUCUAGAAGCUCACUAGAUCAGUUCCAGCUAAUCUUCAGGUAUUUAUCUUAAUUAUUUUUAUUUUUAUUUUUUGCCUUUUUAUACGUUUGCAUUAUAUUAAUCUGCAGCUUAAGUUUAAGAUGAUUUAGCAUAGCUUCUUGAAUCUAGCUAGAAUUUAAUUAUCUGUAGAUUUUAUCAUUCAUAGUUGAUUGCGAAAGCUUAAGCUUUUUCUGAUAUUAUGGAAUUAACAGCUGUUUAAAAUGGAUGUGAUAUUGAAUUACAAAUUAUUUUAGGGCUGCCUUUUUCGUGAUUCUUAUCAUCGUUAAAUGGACGAGAUGGAUUAAUUAAUGAUAUGAUUUGUAUUUUUUCUAAU
rnacentral:lncRNA from 1 species